rnacentral:rRNA from 1 species
AUUGAACGCUGGCGGCAUGCCUUACACAUGCAAGUCGAACGGCAGCACGGGAGCAAUCCUGGUGGCGAGUGGCGAACGGGUGAGUAAUAUAUCGGAACGUGCCCAGUCGUGGGGAUAACGUAGCGAAAGCUACGCUAAUACCGCAUACGAUCUACGGAUGAAAGCGGGGGAUCGCAAGACCUCGCGCGAUUGGAGCGGCCGAUAUCAGAUUAGGUAGUUGGUGAGGUAAAGGCUCACCAAGCCGACGAUCUGUAGCUGGUCUGAGAGGACGACCAGCCACACUGGGACUGAGACACGGCCCAGACUCCUACGGGAGGCAGCAGUGGGGAAUUUUGGACAAUGGGCGCAAGCCUGAUCCAGCAAUGCCGCGUGCAGGAUGAAGGCCUUCGGUGUAACUGCUUU